rnacentral:lncRNA from 1 species
AUGAGAGGCGUGUGCAGGAAUUCAGGCAGGCUGCAACAAGCAGCAGGAAGCACGUGGAUGGCUCUUGGCAACUACCUCCGUGGGACUCAGCAUCAGUACCCGGCAAUAUCAGUCAAACCCCCACACAUCUGUAUGAGCAGCUGGACGUCUGCCCUGUUUUUGUGCAAUUUGUUCGCACAAAAGGAUUAUUCCAUUUGGGCUGAUAAAGGUGAUAUUUCCACAAAAGAAUAAGUUGAGAACUUUGCCUGAUGUCCAAGCUGAGUCUGCAAGUGUGGUCUACGAGAAAGAGUGGCUUGUUUGAAGGACCAACCACAGCAAAACUGUGGGUCCAGAGAUGAUUUGUCUGUGGGAUUCCAUAACUGUGGAUAAAAACCUCAUUAAAAGUCACUCAUCUGUUUGUAUUCUUUAACACAUUUGCAUAGGCUACGACACCUUUUUUUUUAAGUUUCCAUGUCUACUGCAAAAAAAAAAAAAUCUUUUCUCUAUUUUCGGCAUUAAAA